UUCCCAAAGUGCUGGGAUUACAGGCGUGAGCCACCGUACCCGGCCAACAUGUUUGGCUUUAAGAGGAACUGCCAUACCCGUCUUCCCAGCCGAGGCCUCCGCCCGCACCCCCCACCACCCAACUCAGCUCGUCAUAACUCACAGGCCGGGUCCAGGGUGCCAGGAAUGCCACUGAGGCUGGCAGAGUCCUAAAAGGGAGUGGCAGGUGCUGCUCCACAAGGACGGUUGUCCACCCUCAAUGAGGGCUGCAGGGCAACUGCUGACUGUCUGGCAGCCAGAGGACAGGGACAGGCAGCCACCCUCUUGCCAUGACCACACCUGGGUCUCCCUCAGUGUGGCUCCCGAGGGGCCGUUGAACACAGUGUUGAGAACUGCUGAGAAAAUCACACCAAAGACGAACUACCCACAGAUGCCAGUCACCACUCCAGGGUGACGAGAAAGAGAACACACAGGCGGCAGCGUGACAAAAUGAGUCCCAGCAUGCUACAUCUGGUUUCGGGUUUUAUUUUAGAAUUUAUAAAAUUCCAGUGUCAUCCAUAUUCAUGAGCCUUUACACAUGUUUGCAUAUAAUCUCCAAAUUCCAAAGUUAAGGCCAAGGGAUGGAUUGUAGCUAUGGAAACAGAUGAUAUGGAAGACAUCCAACAAGGAGGAAAAGCACACGCACGCCUCACCCCUGCCUCAUCUCUGCCCAGGGCUGUCCUGACAGCACAGACGCUUCAGGGAGACAGGCCUGGGGACAGUCAUGUCAUCACCCUUGCAACAACCACCCAAAGGAAAAGAGAGCGCUGAACAGUUUAGGAAAGGGCUCGCGUCUAAGACAUCAAGCGACAUACAGAGAUGUGCAAAACUUGGUGAGAAUUAAAAUUGACCUUUGGGAGAGGGUAGGGGCAGGAUGUUUUAUGACACUGUAGAAAAGACAGGAGGAACCCGCUGCGAUGGAGAUUGGGGGGAGCUGGAAGCAAGCAGCCAACAGGACAGAGUUCCAGAACUCAUGCAGAUGGGGAAGAGGUGACAGCCCUUCCCCACUGGCCUCCCCCGUGGAGGUGGAGUAGACAGAUCCCGGGAAAGGCAGGAAAAGGGCCUUGCUUUCUUUCCCUGUUUCCUAAGCCGUGGUCACCCUAGCCUAUGAAGCUGGAAGCUAUAUUCCUUCCAAUCCCAAUUUACCAUUCCUGUAAACAGGCCCAUUCAGGGCUGCCUGAGCAAAUGGGGACUUGCCGAGGCAGCUGCAACUAGACUUGGGCUAAGCCGUCUGGGUCUACUCAAGAAUUCGAGUCUGAAGAUGACCAAGCUUGAGUUAUUCAACUGAGAGUGAGGUGUCAAGGCGGAAGCGACUGUCCCCAGGGAAGGGCUGUGAGAUGGAUGGGCGUGAGUCAGCUUUUCCAAAACUCAAGUACCUGGGACAGGACAACUCGCUAGCAGCUCAGUCACCUCCGUGGCGGACACAGAUAAGGAUGUUAAGACCAGAAAACCAGAGACUAGGGCCCCGUCCUCAGCCCUCACAGCAUGACACAGAUGCCUCCCUCGGAGAGCAGGGUCUCUCGGCAUCCAGCGGCGUGGUCUGCAUUCUGCUCUACCUCAUGCUCUAGGCCCCAUGCCAUCGUCUCGGCCCUAGACCGUGAAAACUGCCAGUCACCCGGGACCUGCUCCUAGGGGCUGGCCUGCACAGCCGGAUGGCCUGUGGGCGGGGUGGAAGUGCCCACUCCCACUCCAGAUGGGCCUGCUGGCCACUGACCCACCUGUGCUGAGGGAGAGCGCCAGCCUCCAGCUUAGGUACACGGCGCCCACCCCCAGCUCCACGGGAAACCCAUAACCACCAGAAACAUCUCAAUCAAGAGACGGGUGUGUGGGGUGGCACUAACUGCACAGAGACCACUCCACGCCGGCUGAGGUAGAAAGAAGGCAACUGAACACACAGCAGCUAGGGCAGGGGCAGGGAGGGGCUGCAGGUGGUGUGAAGAAGAGCCCAGCUGUCAUCUAAGGCAAACUGCCCCCACUGAGGACAAGCGUAAGGCCCUACCUCCCCCAACCUGUGCGCAUCUCAAUCACAGCAGACACUGUGACGGCCACAGGGGACCCAGAUGGUGCCUACCACCUUGCCUCCAGGCUCCACUCACCAGACCUCAGGCUGAGGGUCUGGCAGUGGAGGUAGGGGCAGGGACCCUUGGUGCUUUCAGACCCCACGGCAGGUAAAAUCAGGACUGCCUGAGAACCCGUCACCCUCUGCCUCUCAGGUCACCCCCCAGCUCCAGGAACCUGCCUCCUGCUGUCCAUUGCCAGGUCUUCCUUGCACCCUGACACCUGUGCUGAGGCGCUCUGGCAGCUGGAGGAGGCUGAUUGCACUCCACAAACAGGACUGUCUGGACCAAGGGAAACUGGCAGGAGGGAGGUGGGAAAGGAAGAGGGCAAACGUUUGGCUUUUAUAAAGUCAAG